GAUGAAGAACGCAGCGAAAUGCGAUACUUGGUGUGAAUUGCAGAAUCCCGUGAACCAUCGAGUCUUUGAACGCAAGUUGCGCCCGAAGCCAUUAGGCCGAGGGCACGCCUGCCUGGGCGUCACACGUCGUUGCCCCCCCCAUCUACUCCUUCGGGAUUGCGGGGGGCGGAUGAUGGCCUCCCGUGCGCCUCGCCGCGCGGUUGGCAUAAAUGCCAAGUCCUCGGCGACGCACGCCACGACAAUCGGUGGUUGCGAAACCUCGGUUGCCCGUCGUGUGCGGUCGUCGCGCAUCGAGGGCUCGAAAAAAUUGCCGAGUUCCGGCUCGGCUUUCAACGCGACCCCAGGUCAGGCGGGGUUACCCGCUGAAUUUAAGCAUAUCAAUAAGCGGGGA
rnacentral:misc_RNA from 1 species